UGCUCGUUCCGCCCUAGCAGCACGUAAAUAUUGGAGUGUAAAAGAAUCCUUCAACCCCAAUAUUCUUGUGCUGCUUCAGCGUGGCAGAGA
rnacentral:pre_miRNA from 12 species